ACGGCUCACGUCAGACGCCAUUUUCAAAUUAAAGUUAUGUUUCUUCCUCGAUGAUGGUUUUAACGUACCAAACGUCUCUCCUAUCACACACUGCCGUCUACAGGAUGGGAGAAUCACAAGUCCAGACAAGACCGCGCACAGGACAUCAGUUCAUGCAGCUAUGAAAUCAGCAUGAAGCUGAGUGAAGGAGGCUUUGGAAGUGUUUAUGCGGGGAUUCGCUUGACAGAUGGCCUUAAGCAAAAAUCAGCACCCAAGGACCGGAUGGGCCGCCCCAGCUCCAGAACUCCCUGUCCCCACACACCAAUGCAUAACCCGCAUUGAUGUACGGACUAUCCAGGGAGACACAACCUGUACAUGCCCAAGAAGAACCUCUGGAACAAACAUGGCUUGUCACAAGAAUGCUGCCAAUUCAUUGGCUUCUGUCCCCAUACACCAAAGACAUCUGCCUCGUCUUCCUGCACAGAAUGCUGAAAUUUAAUUUGCUCUUGCCUGCAAGGUCACAGAUGUGGAGAAUACCUAAUGGAAAUCAUGUUGGCCUGUCCAGAGGUUCCUCUCAUGGUUGCCCGGUCUUUGCAUCCCUGAACCCCCAUUCUACCAAUUAGAAUAUAAUAAAAAUUAUUAUUAUUCCUCCUAUGACAGUAAUAGAACAUAUUGUAAAACAAAUGCACUGUAAAAUAAAUGAAUGUUUCAUAAGCAUAUUAUUUAAUGCUACAGUAGGGAAAAUACAAUACAAUAGUAAUUUCUACACUUGGAAGAGAUAAAGCCUUGCUUUUAUUUAGAUGGUAAACUAACGUUUGAGUGAAAGGUCUACAAACGCUUCUCAUUACAAAUCUAGUGAAAUGCUGUAAUUUUCACACAAAAAUGUUGGAAACUAUACAAAUGUGAAAACUGGUGUCCACUACGUCCCCAAUUGCAAGACCCACAGCACAUGCAGAGAUGGAUGGAGUUCACUCACUGCAUUCAUUCACUGUGAACCGAGAAAACACCGGAUCAGCUGAUGGCGUGCGUGAGCAAAGUGAGCACUUGAUUUUGAUACACUCAGAGUAAACAGACAUACUUAAUUAAAUUGCAGUCUUUUGCGAUUUGAUAAGGACUAAAGCCUUAUCGUGCUUUCGAUUUUAGUUCAUUUGACAGCAAUGGGGCAAAACAUGACAUUAAAGAAUUUUAUGUUAUUAUGAGAAGUUUAGACUAAACUUUCUGGAAAGUUAGCUUUGGUAAGCCAUUUUAAAUUCCCAAAAUAAAUUCCAAACAAACUUU